GGCUCCCACAGGGCAGAGCGACGCGGCUCAAGGCACGCCGGGAAUUGUAGUCCAUGAAUGGUCCUACCCUCUACUCUUUCCCUGAGAUUUCGCCCUCCCAACGUGACCGGAGACGCUCAGUUCACGGAUGCAGUUGGUACUCCCAAGCUAGUUUGAUGUGGCGCGCUGGAUCCGGGAAGAGAACGGACUACAGCUCCCAGGAUCCCCUUAAGAUGGGCUUUGGGCUCCGAUAACUGACCAAGACCAGGAAGAUAAAAACAAUGUCAGAGGCCAACUGGAGACAGGAUUUGCUUUGGGCAAAGCGUUCCACUUGCUGAAGGUUCAAGAGUUGGCAAGUCCUGUGGCCACUCCCUCCACACCCCCACCAUCAGAAGUAUAGUGAGGAGUCUGCUAGAGGAUGCCAACUUCUGGGAUUAUCCUCUAGGCAUAGUGGUGGGCCCAUACAGAAAAUUCUUGGACAGCUUUUCCUGGAAUGUUUCUACUAACAACCCAUCUCAAACAUGAGAUCCCUUUACAGCAGAUCCCAAAUGCAGAGCUGUCUGCCUGGGGCUCAGUUCCCUCAGAAUCUUCCACUGGGGGUUGAAUGGACAACGCUUACCUGGGAGAUACACCGAGGAGCUGCCAGGCUUUGGUGCGCUGUGCUCCUGGUUUAUUUCUAGCCUUUCCUAGGCAGAGGCGCCUUUUUGGUGUCAAUUAAAUUCCCAUGGCUAGAACCUAACUGGGAGUGCAAUAGGUACGUGGUUUGCUGUUCUGAUGAUGUGUAGUGUCAGGGUCUACUGUGCCACUUAAACUCUUCAUAAUAUACCUCCUCCCAUUCUCGA
rnacentral:lncRNA from 7 species